rnacentral:rRNA from 1 species
CCUACGGGGGGCAGCAGUGAGGAAUAUUGGUCAAUGGCCGAGAGGCUGAACCAGCCAAGUCGCGUGAGGGAAGACGGCCCUACGGGUUGUAAACCUCUUUUGUCGGGGAGCAAAGCGAGUCACGUGUGACUCAUUGAGAGAACCCGAAGAAAAAGCAUCGGCUAACUCCGUGCCAGCAGCCGCGGUAAUACGGAGGAUGCGAGAGUUAUCCGGAUUUAUUGGGUUUAAAGGGUGCGCAGGCGGAGGUGCAAGUCAGCGGUCAAAUUGCGGGGCUCAACCCCGGACUGCCGUUGGAACUGCAUCCC